CCUACGGGAGGCAGCAGUGGGGAAUAUUGGACAAUGGGGGCAACCCUGAUCCAGCCAUGCCGCGUGUGUGAAGAAGGCCCUCGGGUUGUAAAGCACUUUCAGUGAGGAAGAACGCCUGGUGGUUAAUACCCAUCAGGAAAGACAUCACUCACAGAAGAAGCACCGGCUAACUCCGUGCCAGCAGCCGCGGUAAUACGGAGGGUGCGAGCGUUAAUCGGAAUUACUGGGCGUAAAGCGCGCGUAGGUGGCUUGAUAAGCCGGUUGUGAAAGCCCGGGCUCAACCUGGGAACGGCAUCCGGAACUGUCAAGCUAGAGUGCAGGAGAGGAAGGUAGAAUUCCCGGUGUAGCGGUGAAAUGCGUAGAGAUCGGGAGGAAUACCAGUGGCGAAGGCGGCCUUCUGGACUGACACUGACACUGAGGUGCGAAAGCAUGGGUAGCAAACAGGAUUAGAUACCCCUGUAGUC
rnacentral:rRNA from 1 species